rnacentral:rRNA from 1 species
ACUCCUACGGGAGGCAGCAGUGGGGAAUUUUGGACAAUGGGCGCAAGCCUGAUCCAGCAAUGCCGCGUGAGUGAAGAAGGCCUUCGGGUUGUAAAGCUCUUUCAGUCGAGAAGAAAAGGCUGCAGUGAAUAACUGUAGUUUAUGACGGUAUCGACAGAAGAAGCACCGGCUAACUACGUGCCAGCAGCCGCGGUAAUACGUAGGGUGCGAGCGUUAAUCGGAAUUACUGGGCGUAAAGGGCGCGCAGGCGGUUUUGUAAGUCAGAUGUGAAAUCCCCGGGCUUAACCUGGGAAUUGCGUUUGAAACUACAAGACUAGAGUGUGGCAGAGGGAGGUGGAAUUCCAUGUGUAGCAGUGAAAUGCGUAGAGAUAUGGAAGAACAUCGAUGGCGAAGGCAGCCUCCUGGGUUAACACUGACGCUCAUGCACGAAAGCGUGGGGAGCAAACAGGAUUAGAUACCCUGGUAGUCCACGCCCUAAACGAUGUCAACUAGUUGUCGGGCCUUACUAGGCUUGGUAACGAAGCUAACGCGUGAAGUUGACCGCCUGGGGAGUACGGUCGCAAGAUUAAAACUCAAAGGAAUUGACGGGGACCCGCACAAGCGGUGGAUUAUGUGGAUUAAUUCGAUGCAACGCGAAAAACCUUACCUACCCUUGACAUGUAGCGAAUUUUCCAGAGAUGGAUUAGUGCCUUCGGGAACGCUAACACAGGUGCUGCAUGGCUGCCGUCAGCUCGUGUCGUGAGAUGUUGGGUUAAGUCCCGCAACGAGCGCAACCCUUGUCAUUAAUUGCCAUCAUUUAGUUGGGCACUUUAAUGAGACUGCCGGUGACAAACCGGAGGAAGGUGGGGAUGACGUCAAGUCCUCAUGGCCCUUAUGGGUAGGGCUUCACACGUAAUACAAUGGCG